rnacentral:rRNA from 1 species
UACGUAGGGUGCAAGCGUUAAUCGGAAUUACUGGGCGUAAAGCGUGCGCAGGCGGUUGUGCAAGACAGAUGUGAAAUCCCCGGGCUCAACCUGGGAACUGCAUUUGUGACUGCAUGGCUGGAGUGCGGCAGAGGGGGAUGGAAUUCCGCGUGUAGCAGUGAAAUGCGUAGAUAUGCGGAGGAACACCGAUGGCGAAGGCAAUCCCCUGGGCCUGUACUGACGCUCAUGCACGAAAGCGUGGGGAGCAAACAGG